CGCGGCCUAUCAGCUUGUUGGUGUGGUAACGGCUCACCAAGGCAACGACGGGUAGCUGGUCUGAGAGGACGAUCAGCCACACUGGGACUGAGACACGGCCCAGACUCCUACGGGAGGCAGCAGCAGGGAAUAUUGCAUAAUGGGCGAAAGCCUGAUGCAGCGACGCCGCGUGGGGGAUGAAGGCCUUCGGGUUGUAAACCCCUUUCAGGAGGGACGAAGCGAAAGUGACGGUACCUCCAGAAGAAGCCCCGGCCAACUACGUGCCAGCAGCCGCGGUAAUACGUAGGGGGCGAGCGUUGUCCGGAUUUAUUGGGCGUAAAGAGCUCGUAGGCGGCUCAACAAGUCGGCCGUGAAAGCCCGAGGCUUAACCUCGGGACGCCGGUCGAAACUGUUGUGGCUAGGGUCCGGUAGAGGAGAGUGGAAUUCCCGGUGUAGCGGUGAAAUGCGCAGAUAUCGGGAGGAACACCAGUAGCGAAGGCGGCUCUCUGGGCCGGCACCGACGCUGAGGAGCGAAAGCUAGGGGAGCAAACAGGAUUAGAUACCCUGGUAGUCCUAGCCGUAAACGAUGGGUACUAGGUGUGGCGGAUUCAUUGACAUCUGCCGUGCCGAAGCUAACGCAUUAAGUACCCCGCCUGGGGAGUACGG
rnacentral:rRNA from 1 species